rnacentral:rRNA from 1 species
CCUUUCAGUCAUGCACUAAACAAAUCAGGCACUGGCUAGUGCUUAGAUGGGUGACUGCUUGAGAAUACCAGGUGCUGAAGGCU